CCUACGGGGGCAGCAGUCGGGAAUAUUGCGCAAUGGAGGAAACUCUGACGCAGUGACGCCGCGUAUAGGAAGAAGGUUUUCGGAUUGUAAACUAUUGUCGUUAGGGAAGAGAAAGGACAGUACCUAAGGAGGAAGCUCCGGCUAACUACGUGCCAGCAGCCGCGGUAAUACGUAGGGAGCGAGCGUUAUCCGGAUUUAUUGGGUGUAAAGGGUGCGUAGACGGGAAUGCAAGUUGGUUGUGAAAUCCCUCGGCUUAACUGAGGAACUGCAACCAAAACUACAUUUCUUGAGUGCUGGAGAGGAAA
rnacentral:rRNA from 1 species